rnacentral:lncRNA from 1 species
GUGACUUUAUGACUACUAGCUUAAAGGUCUUAGUUCCAGAGGGAAGGAUACGUCCACUAGGAGACACAACAAUGAUUCCACUGAACUGGAAGUUAAGACUGCUACCCAGCCACUUUGGGCUUCUCAUGCCUCUGAAUCAAUUGGCAAAGAAGGGAGUUAUGGUGUUGGCUGGGUGGGGUGACUGGUCUUGAAUACCAAAGGGAAAUUGAACUACUAUCCACGAUGGAGGAAGAUUAGCCCUGAGCCAACAUCCGCGCCCAUCCCCCUCAUACGUGGGACGCCCACCACAGCACAGCCUGACAAGCAGUGCCAUGUCGGCACCGAGAUCCCAACUGGUGAACCUGGGCCCCAAAGAGGAACAUGCCAACCCAACCGCUGCACCACCGGCCGGCCCAAAAAUAAAAGCUUCAAUAAUUGAAAAGGAAGAAACAAAUUUGGCAUUAUGUGUAAAUGAUAUGACUGUCUAUAUGUAAAACAAAAAUCCCUGCGCAUAAAUUAACAGAUUAUGAAGAAACAUUAUAAAGUUUCCUGUAUCUAAAAUUGAUAUGAGGCGUCGACCCAUGGCCGAGUGGUUAAGUUCGGGCGCUCAGCUGCAGGUGGCUCAGGGUCUGGUUGGUUCCAGUCCUGGGUGUGGACAUGGCACCACUCAUCGAGCCACGCUGAGGAGGCGUCCCACAUGCCACAACUAGAAGGACCCACAACUCAGAAUAUACAACUAUGUACCGUGGGGCUUUGGGGAGAAAAAGAAAAAAAAAAUAAAAUCUUUAAAGUUGAUAUGAAGAAAUGAUUUCAUUUCUGUACAUCAAAAUGUUAGAAAAUGAGGUCCUCCCCACACUAAGUUAUAGAUUUAAUGAAACUUUAACAAAAAUCCUUGCUGGGGGGCCGACCCCGUGGCCAAAUGGUUAAGUUCACGUGCUCCGCUUCUGCAGCCCAGGGUUUCACGGGUUCAGAUCCUGGGCUCGCACAUGGCACCGCUCAUCAGGCCGCGCUGAUGCGGCGUCCCACAUGCCACAACUAGAAGGACCCACAACUAAAAAUAUGCAACUAUGUGCCAAGAGACUUUGGGAAGAAAAAGGAAAAAUAAAAUCUUAAAAAAAAAAAAUCCUUGCUGAGUAUUUAAUGGGCUAGAUCUAAAUAUUUUAUGAAAGAACAAAGGGCUAAAAAUAGCCAAAACAUUGUUGAAGAACAGGUAAGAGAGAGGUACUUUACCAGAUACUCAAAAUAUGAUAAAAAAGUAUAGCAAUUAAAAUAAUGUGGUAUGCUUAGCAGAGGAAGAGAAAAUAGACCAAAGGAACAGAAACAAAAACCCAGAAACAGACUAAAGAACCCAGAAACAGACUAAAGUACACAUUGAGACAAUUUAGACAGAGAAGAU